AUGACUUUGAGCUCCAUCCUCAUCUGGACUCUCCUCUGCUGCUGCUUGACAGAGUCCAGAGGCCAGGUCACAGUGACUCAGCCUGGAGCAGUGAGCGCUGCUCUGGGAGCCUCCGUCACCAUCACAUGUAAAACCAGCCAGGAUGUUGAUGUUGCUGUUAUUGAAUAUGAUGAUGAUGGUAAUCAAGUUAAUUCAUACUAUCUAUCAUGGUACCAACAGAGAGAUGGAGAAGCUCCUAAACUGCUCGUGAUGGAGAAGCUCCUAAACUGCUCGUUUACUACUCGAGAAUCAGGGAUUCCAGGUCGUUUUACAGGCAGUGGAUCAGGGAGUGACUUCACUCUGACCAUCAGUGGAGUCCAGGCUGAAGAUGCAGCAGUUUACUACUGUCAGAGUGUCCAUGAAAUCAACAGUAAAGAUGUGUUCACACAGUGA